AUUGAACGCUGGCGGCAGGCUUAACACAUGCAAGUCGAGCGAGCGGCGGACGGGUGAGUAAUGUCUGGGAAACCACCCGAUGGUGGGGGAUAACUACUGGAACCGGUAGCAAAUACCGUAUAACAUCAGAUGUCCCCAGAUGGGAUUAGCUAGUAGGUGGGGUAAUGGCUCACCUAGGCGCCGAUCCCUAGCUGGUCUGAGAGGAUGCCCAGCCACACUGGAGCUGAGACACGGUCCAGACUCCUACGGGAGGCAGCAGUGGGGAAUAUUGCACAAUGGGCGCAAGCCUGAUGCAGCCAUGCCGCGUGUGUGAAGAAGGCCUUCGGGUUGUAAAGCACUUUCAGCGAGGAGGCGUUACUCGCAGAAGAAGCACCGGCUAACUCCGUGCCAGCAGCCGCGGUAAUUC
rnacentral:rRNA from 1 species